UCACAAGCAGACCUUCACAAGAAUUCGGAACACGAACUCCUGUGAGAGGGAGAUUCCAAGUCUUCCGAGAUUUCUCGACGAGAACGAUGAGGCUACUUAGGUAAAUGAAACAUUUUCAUGGAGGCGAAAGUGUGUGCUAAUGACACGAAAGCAGAGACUCUUUCGGAUGUUUAUAGGAAGUACUGUGCCAGCUUAUGGAAUUUGCUCUGGGGCACGUGUUUGUCGCACCGGCCUGCUAAACGACCACUGCAGAAUUCGACAUGGAGGAGAUAGCCUCUUCUGGCGAAGUCUACUCCUUCUGCAAGUGUCCACUGCAGUAUUUGCUCCCACAGGCAACUUUCCUUGGUAGGGACAAUGGCUAGCAUUCCCUCCUGGAUCUAUAGAAGAUGGGCAUGUGCGGCCUCUGCGUGGACGCUCCCAAGACCCUUGGUGGCUGCUCUUCUCAUCCACAGCUGGGCUCAGCACCACUGGCACUGCAGCAGCCUCUUCACCACCCACUUGAUCUGGUGCACUGCUGAAGGCCUCUGCACGUAAAACAGUAGUGUUUCAUUUGAAAUAAAACACACUUGGCAACAUGGAUGCCUUUCCACAAAA
rnacentral:lncRNA from 1 species